GACGUAGGGCGCGAGCGUUGUCCGGAUUUAUUGGGCGUAAAGGGCGCGUAGGCGGUUUGUACAGUCAGACGUGAAAUUCCUGGGCUCAACCUGGGGGGCUGCGUUUUGAUACGUGCAGACUUGAGUUCGGAAGAGGGUCGUGGAAUUCCCAGUGUAGAGGUGAAAUUCGUAGAUAUUGGGAAGAACACCAGUGGCGAAGGCGGCUCACUGGUCCGGUACUGACGCUGAGGUGCGAAAGCGUGGGGAGCAAACAGG
rnacentral:rRNA from 1 species